rnacentral:tRNA from 1 species
AGCGGAAAAAGGGACUUGAACCCUCAACCUCAGCCCUU